rnacentral:lncRNA from 9 species
CCCUCCUCGCCUGGCAAUUAAAGCUGUUUUUUCGCUUCCUCCAACUCUGCCUCUGCGUCUCUAUUUGGCACCCGUGUACAGAGGCGGCCGAGAUUCGGCAACAGGGAGCGGAGAGGAGGGUCCUCGGGUCCCCUUCCCCCGCCCCCGUAGGCAGCUCUGAAGGACCCAGGGUGCAGAUGCUUGGGCGGGCUGUGCCCAGGGGGGAAGCCAAGGGGGGAGUGGGGGACACUGUCCCUGGCAGGGAAGUCACAGCCGGAAAGCAGAACAAAGAUGCGGGCUUUGCCUCAGGCGGUCAGAGGGGAGGAGCCGCAGCCUGUGCAGCUGUGGGCAUUGAGGUGAAGGAAAGAUUCUUUUCUAGAAAGUUGGCGAAGGAGGAAACGGAAGUCCCGCUGUGCAGGGACCAGCGUUUGCUGCUGGACUGUCCUUGCUGACGGGAGACCAGCCCGUGGACUGGUGUGAACAGCCAGGAACGUGCUUCCCCGUUCAGGAGGGGUUGCCUCUGGUAGGAAGAGAAAGUCAGAAUAACCCGGUGUUUCUGGAAGAUCGCCCUCCCAAGGAAACCCCGCUCUUUGAAGUCAGGGUCCCUGAAACCAGCCGCCCCCCAAGACACCUCCCGGCGUGUCGAGGGUGCCAUCUUGUGGAAGGACGAGGUAACAGCAACACAACACCCCUCACAAGACCUUUGCAUCCCAGGCAAUGCGGUAACCCUCCAGCACUAACUCCAGGACCUUACAAUUCUGGAGUCUCCAAAGGACUCCCACACCUUCUUCAUUUCAUAGUGACAAAACCCUGGGGAGCAAUAUGGUUAUCCCAAACUAACUCAGAGAGGUUCAUGGACUUACAGAAGGUCACACAGCCAAAGGCACAGCCAAACCGCCUCCCUCCGAGUCCUCCUCUCCCAGCACCUGGCUCUCCUGCCGUGUCCAUCAGCAGAUGUUCCACGCCCAUGGCUUUCCAACUGCUGCCCGGUAUUUAAGCUUGUGCUGCGUGUGCCGGCGUUUGCAUGAACAUCACGGAGGUGGAUUUCACGCUGCGGUGCUUACCUGUGCCACGUGUGGUGCCUCUGAAGGGUCUUUCCUUUUCUGGAAUUUUUUUUAAAAACUGUAGUAAAGUUGAUUGACAAUGUUGUGUUAGUUUCAGGUGUAUGGCAAAGCAAUUCAGUUAUGCGUACAUAAAUCUAUUACUUUUCAGAUUCUUUCCCCUUCUAGGUUAUUUAUUAUGAGAUAUUGAAUAUAGUUCCCGAUGCUAGACAAUCUAUCUCUGUUGUUUAUCUACUUUAUAUCUUGUAGUGGGUUUAAUUAUUCUUUUCUGUUGGCUUUUUGUUUGUUUUUUAUGGCUGCAACCAUAGCAUAUGGAAGGUUCCAGGCCAGAGGUUUAGUCUGAGCCAUAACUGUGACCUACAUCACAGAUGCAGCAACACCAGACCCUUUAACCCACUGUGCUGGGCUGGGGAACGAACCUGCGCCUUGGCAGCCACCCGAGCCACUGCAGUUGGAUUCUUAACCCACUGCACCACAGCGGAAACUCCCU